UACGGGGGGGGCAAGCGUUGUUCGGAAUUACUGGGCGUAAAGGGCUCGUAGGCGGCCAACUAAGUCGGACGUGAAAUCCCUCAGCUUAACUGGGGAACUGCGUCUGAUACUGGAUGGCUUGGAUUCGGGAGAGGGAUGCGGAAUUCCAGGUGUAGCGGUGAAAUGCGUAGAUAUCUGGAGGAAUACCGGUGGCGAAGGCGGCAUCCUGGACCGACAUUGACGCUGAGGAGCGAAAGCUAGGGGAGCAAACGGG
rnacentral:rRNA from 1 species